GCCAGGUUGAUUUAAAUACUUUUAGUCCGAUUGGGCUACUACAUUUCCUUCCCUAUUGGUAUUAUGGUGUUCUCCUUGCAGGUUGUCAAAGGUCGAUGCAGAUAUGAAACAAUUAAGAGAAAUAUAAGAACUGUUUAUAGGACAGUGGGGUAAUAUCCAAAAUGAGAGCCCCAUCUAGGGAGGAAAGGCCCAUAAAUAAAAAGGCAUAUACAAAAGAUACGUAAUUAAAAAACCAAAAAGACAACACUAGACAACAACAAGAGAAGUAAUAACUAAGACCAAGUGGG
rnacentral:lncRNA from 1 species